rnacentral:rRNA from 1 species
UACGAAGGGGGCUAGCGUUGUUCGGAUUUACUGGGCGUAAAGCGCACGUAGGCGGAUCGUUAAGUCGGGGGUGAAAUCCUGGAGCUCAACUCCAGAACUGCCUUCGAUACUGGCGAUCUUGAGUCCGGAAGAGGUGAGUGGAACUCCUAGUGUAGAGGUGGAAUUCGUAGAUAUUAGGAAGAACACCAGUGGCGAAGGCGGCUCACUGGACUGGUAUUGACGCUGAUGUGCGAAAGCGUGGGGAGCAAACAGG